GGUAAAGGGCACACAGGAACUGCAGGUCCUAUUUUUACAGCUUCGGUUAGUCUAAAAUUAGCUCAAAAUUAAAAUGAAAUAACAGAUGAAAACACCUGAAAGGAAUCUACGCGUGAGCCGGUGUGGAGACCCCCAAACCCCAGGGGGGAGAAGGAAGAGCAGGAACAGCAGCAUAGUCACAGGGGAACCGGAAGCAGACAGUCGGGAGCCCACACAUCAGGAAUGAAAAAGUUCCAGCUCGGAAGUUGAUCAAGGAGAUCCACACUGAAACAAGGAUUCGGCCUGGUCUUCAAACCUGCUCUUAACCCUGCGCGCCAGUCACCAGAAGAGAACAUAGGAGAAAAGACACACACCACUGAUCUGGAAUUCUGGGAUGGUGAUCUCUGCAUUCCUGGAGAGUGGCAAACUCCGCAGAUGAACUUUCAGGACCCACCACUAGGUGGUACACUGCUUCUCCAAUGCACCUUUCAGACGUUUGAAGCUUUGUGCGCUCUGCGUACUUCGGUGACCCCUCACCCAGCCCCGCAUUUUGUUUUUUUCUUUCACGUAAAAAAUCGUUUACAUUCCCGAGGAACUGAAUAGCCGUUUUCUCAGUUUUCUUAUGGUAGGCACUAAAUAUUUCCUGGACAGAUAAGAGACAAAAAUCCAAGCGGCAAAAGCCUAGUCAGUUGACAGCUUCGCGUUUUGUCAACUUCCUAAACAAAGCCAAGCUGGCUUUUAUGAAGCCCUUUGUCGCUCUUCAAAAGGAGAGGGAGAGGCUCGGCAUUCUCCAAGCAUAUUUGAAUCUGUGUAUAUUUUUAUUAAUUAUACAUGUAUUUUAUCUGUGGACUAUUUAAAGCCUUGAAGGAAUCCUGCCCUCAACACCUGUCCCUGUAUGAAAACACCUGCGGUCACGGCUGAAGGCUCAGCCUUCUUCCCUCCUGACUACAGAUGUCAUCUGUCUUGUGUUCAUACUGCCCAGAACCACAGACUGUCAACCGCUAUUAUGUAGCCACAGUGGCCCUGCAAUCUGUCGACGAAUCCCCUGUCUCUAAAGCCCUGCUCUCUGAGCUGUGCUAGCCUUACCACAGGGUUCUUAAAUAGAUGAUUGUCCUCUGAAAUAAAUCCAAUACAAGGACAAGAAGGGGCCUCUUCUCCAGUGCCCAGUUCAUGUGGAAAAAUAGAAUAUCGUAUCCCUGGGAAAGACUGUUACAUACAGCAGUAUGAGUUAACUAGAAAUUCAUCAAGGAAAACUUUGUAAAUGUCCUCACUAUUUAAAGAAAAUGAAACAGCAGAAGCAGUGUAGUGGUACAAACAUUUGAUCCCAGCACUUGAGAGGCAAAGACUGGUGACUCUCUAAGAGUUCAAGGCUACCCUGAUCUACACAGCAAGUUCCAGGACAUGCAGAGCUACACAGAGAAAUCCUCUCUUUAAAGAAAAAGAAGGUGGAAGAAGAGGAUGAAGAAGAAGAUGACAAAGAAAGGGAUGGAAGAAGGAAGAGAGAGAGAGAAACAGAGGGGUGAUAAAUAAAGAAAAGAGCAACCAGAAAGGCAAAUAUCCCUUAUUAAACUGAUAUAGUCAUAUUGCUGCUUAGAAAUAGUCUACAAAAGUGAUGAUCAUUGCCUAAGCACCUGUUAUCUUCUCCACUAGACUGUAAACCAACUGGAAAAAGGGAACCAAGUAUAAGCCAUCUCAGCCUUCCCCUCCCCCCAAUAAUUAGCAUGGUACCCAGAACACUGUAGGCCUUAUGAAGUAUUUUAAAAAUGAACAAUGUCAUUAAUGAGUAAACAGAAUGGUGUGCUUCUUAGUGAGUUAGGAGUGUCUUAAUUCCAACAUUUUAAAACUCAUUUUAAGAUAUGCUCAUCACAAAAUCACUUUCUCAUUUCCUCGAAACUCUUUCCAAGUAGAUUCUGUGGAUCAGAUAUGAAGAUGGGAGGAAAUAGCUCUGUCUUCACAAAGUGUAGCGUGUAGUGAUUAAAAAUAACUUACAUUUAUUUAUUGCUUCCUCAAGCACUUAAUACAACCCAAUGAGACUGAUACAUCCUCCCCAGCUACUUGUUUUAAAUUGUUGUAAAGUAAUAGUAAGCUCAAAGGAUCCUAUAAAAUACGUAUAAGAUAUAAAGAACAGUGAUGUCACAAAUGCCUUUGAAGAUGCUGUGCAACUUAAAAACAACAACAUUUACGUUCUCUGUGGACCCUUUCCUUCCCCUAAGUGGAAACUAUCCUGAACUUUCUUUUUAACUCUGCUUAAUUUCCAUCUAUAUUUAACCACAUAUGCUUUGCUAAAUAAUAAAUUCCACAGUUAUGCAAA